rnacentral:rRNA from 1 species
UGGGGAAUAUUGCACAAUGGGGGGAACCCUGAUGCAGCGACGCCGCGUGCGGGAUGACGGCCUUCGGGUUGUAAACCGCUUUUAUUGGGGAGCAAGCGUGAGUGAGUGUACCUUUUGAAUAAGCACCGGCUAACUACGUGCCAGCAGCCGCGGUAAUACGUAGGGUGCAAGCGUUGUCCGGAAUUAUUGGGCGUAAAGAGCUCGUAGGCGGUUUGUCGCGUCUGGUGUGAAAGUCCAUCGCUUAACGGUGGAUUGGCGCUGGGUACGGGCAGGCUAGAGUGUAGUAGGGGAGACUGGAAUUCUCGGUGUAACGGUGGAAUGUGUAGAUAUCGGGAAGAACACCAAUGGCGAAGGCAGGUCUCUGGGCUAUUACUGACGCUGAGGAGCGAAAGCGUGGGGAGCGAACAGGAUUAGACUACCCGUGGUA